CCUACGGGGUGCAGCAGUGAGGAAUAUUGGUCAAUGGACGAGAGUCUGAACCAGCCAAGCAGCGUGAAGGAUGACUGCCCUAUGGGUUGUAAACUUCUUUUAUAUGGGAAUAAAAUGUUCCACGUGUGGGAUUUUGUAUGUACCAUACGAAUAAGGAUCGGCUAACUCCGUGCCAGCAGCCGCGGUAAUACGGAGGAUCCGAGCGUUAUCCGGAUUUAUUGGGUUUAACGGGAGCGUAGGUGGAUUGUUAAGUCAGUUGUGAAAGUUUGGGGCUCAACCGUAGAAUUGAAGUUGAGACUGGCAGUCUAGAGUGCAGUAGAGGUGGGCUGAAUUAGUGGUGUAGCGGUGAAAUGCUUAGAUAUCACGAAGAACUCCGAUUGCGAAGGCAGCUCCCUGGACUGCAACUGACGCUGAGGCUCGAAAGUGUGGGUAUCAAACAGGAUUAGAUACCCUUGUAGUC
rnacentral:rRNA from 1 species